rnacentral:rRNA from 1 species
GAGUUUGAUCAUGGCUCAGAUUGAACGCUGGCGGCAUGCCUUACACAUGCAAGUCGAACGGCAGCAUGAUCUAGCUUGCUAGAUUGAUGGCGAGUGGCGAACGGGUGAGUAAUACAUCGGAACGUGCCCUGUAGUGGGGGAUAACUAGUCGAAAGAUUAGCUAAUACCGCAUACGACCUGAGGGUGAAAGUGGGGGACCGCAAGGCCUCAUGCUAUAGGAGCGGCCGAUGUCUGAUUAGCUAGUUGGUGGGGUAAAGGCCCACCAAGGCGACGAUCAGUAGCUGGUCUGAGAGGACGAUCAGCCACACUGGGGACUGAGACACGGCCCAGACUCCUACGGGAGGCAGCAGUGGGGAAUUUUGGACAAUGGGCGAAAGCCUGAUCCAGCAAUGCCGCGUGUGUGAAGAAGGCCUCGG